rnacentral:rRNA from 1 species
GACGGAAGGUGCAAGCGUUGCUCGGAAUCACUGGGCGUAAAGGGUGCGUAGGCGGCCGUGCAAGUCUGGCGUGAAAGCCCCGGGCUCAGCCCGGGAAGUGCGCUCGAAACUGCGCGGCUCGAGUGCCGGAGGGGAGAGUGGAAUUCCCGGUGUAGCGGUGAAAUGCGCAGAUAUCGGGAAGAACACCCGUGGCGAAGGCGGCUCUCUGGGACGGUACUGACGCUGAGACGCGAAAGCGUGGGGAGCGAACAGG